UAUCCUUAUUUGCCAGCGCGUUAUGGCAGGAAGUGUAAGGAGACUGCCGGUGAUAAACCGGAGGAAGGUGGGGACGACGUCAAGUCAUCAUGGCCCUUACGGGAUGGGCUACACACGUGCUACAAUGGCAGGUACAGAGGGCAGCAAUACCGCGAGGUGGAGCGAAUCCCACAAAGCUUGUCGUAGUCCGGAUUGGAGUCUGCAACUCGACUCCAUGAAGUCGGAAUCGCUAGUAAUCGUAGAUCAGAAUGCUACGGUGAAUACGUUC
rnacentral:rRNA from 1 species